rnacentral:rRNA from 1 species
UACGUAGGGUGCGAGCGUUGUCCGGAAUUAUUGGGCGUAAAGAGCUCGUAGGUGGCGGGUCACGUCGGGUGUGAAAGCCCGGGGCUUAACUCCGGGUCUGCAUUCGAUACGGGUCUGCUGGGGUCCGGCAGGGGAGACUGGAAUUCCUGGUGUAGCGGUGAAAUGCGCAGAUAUCAGGAAGAACACCCGUGGCUAAGGCGGGUCUCUGGGCCGACACUGACGCUGAGGAGCGAAAGCGUGGGGAGCGAACAGG